GACGAAGGGGCCAAGCGUUGUUCGGAAUUACUGGGCUUAAAGAGCACGUAGGCGGAAAAUUAAGUGUUUUGUGAAAGCCCUCGGCUCAACCGAGGAAUUGCAGGGCAUACUGGUUUUCUUGAGGCAAGUAGGGGUGCGUGGAACUCUAGGUGGAGCGGUGGAAUGCGUAGAUAUCUAGAGGAACGCCCGCGGAGAAAUCGGCGCACUGGGCUUGUACUGACGCUGAGGUGCGAAAGCGUGGGGAGCGAACGGGAUUAGAUACCCGAGUA
rnacentral:rRNA from 1 species